AGGACGAACGCUGGCGGCGUGCUUAACACAUGCAAGUCGAGCGGAAAGGCCCUUCGGGGUACUCGAGCGGCGAACGGGUGAGUAACACGUGAGCAACCUGCCCUUAGCUCUGGGAUAGCUCCGGGAAACCGGAAUUAAUACCGGAUACGACCUAGGCCGACAUCGGCCAUGGUGGAAAGUUUUUCGGCUAGGGAUGGACUCGCGGCCUAUCAGCUAGUUGGUGGGGUAAAGGCCUACCAAGGCGACGACGGGUA
rnacentral:rRNA from 1 species